AUAUUAUGAACCAAAUGGAUUUAACAGAUAUUUAUAGAACAUUUUGAAAGACCCCUGGAGUAGGAAGACCCUCACUCAAGUCUUGGGAUGAUGCGAUCCCCCAAGAACUCAUGUGAGACC
rnacentral:pre_miRNA from 14 species